rnacentral:rRNA from 1 species
UACGUAGGGUGCGAGCGUUAAUCGGAAUUACUGGGCGUAAAGCGUGCGCAGGCGGUUUUGUAAGUCAGAUGUGAAAUCCCCGGGCUUAACCUGGGAACUGCGUUUGAAACUACAAGGCUAGAGUGUGGCAGAGGGGGGUGGAAUUCCACGUGUAGCAGUGAAAUGCGUAGAGAUGUGGAGGAACACCGAUGGCGAAGGCAGCCCCCUGGGUUAGCACUGACGCUGAAGCACGAAAGCGUGGGGAGCAAACAGG